rnacentral:rRNA from 1 species
UACGUAGGGUCCAAGCGUUAAUCGGAAUUACUGGGGCGUAAAGCGUGCGCAGGCGGUUGUGCAAGACCGAUGUGAAAUCCCCAGGCUUAACCUGGGAAUUGCAUUGGUGACUGCACGGCUAGAGUGUGUCAGAGGGGGGUAGAAUUCCACGUGUAGCAGUGAAAUGCGUAGAGAUGUGGAGGAAUACCGAUGGCGAAGGCAGCCCCCCUGGGAUAACACUGACGCUCAUGCACGAAAGCGUGGUGAGCAAACAGGAUUA